AUGGCAGAUUCUGAGGCCAGUCCAAGACUCUUCCCCCUAAGCCUCCAGAGUGCUGCCCCUGGUGGGAAUGUGAUCAUCGCUUGCCUGGUCCAAGGCUUUUUCCCAUCGGAUCCUUUGGAAGUGACCUGGAGUCAUACUGGGCAGGGAGUGAAUGUCAGGAACUUCCCCCCUGUCAAGUCUGCCACUGGAAAUGUGUACACCAUGAGUAGCCAGCUCACCCUGCCUGCUGACCAGUGCCUGGACACUACAUCCCACCAGUGCCACGUGAAGCAUUAUAAAAGCCCAGACCAGGUGGUCACGGUGCCCUGCAAAGCAAGCUCUUGUCAGAAGUGUUGGUAUUGCCAGCCACGCCUGACCCUGCACCGGCCAGCCUUAGAAGAUCUGCUCCUGGGCUCAGAGGCCAACCUGACAUGCACACUGAGUGGUCUAAAGGAUCCCAGUGGUGCCACCUUCACCUGGCAGCCCUCAGGUGGUAAGGACGCCAUACAAGGGUCUCCUGAGUAUGACUCCUGCGGCUGUUACAGUGUGUCCAGCGUCCUUCCUGGCUGCUCGGAGCCCUGGAAUAGUGGAGAGACCUUCUCUUGCACUGCCACCCAUUCCGAGGCAGCGAACCUGCAAACUGUCACCAUCUCCAAAGAUUCAGGAAACAAGUUCCGGCCCCAGGUCCACCUGCUGCCGCCACCAUCAGAAGAACUGGCCCUGAAUGAACUGGUGACUCUGACAUGCUUAGUGCGUGGCUUCAGUCCUAAGGAUGUGCUGGUGCGUUGGAUGCAUGAGACCCAGGAGCUACCCCGUGAUGACUACCUGACCUCAAGCCCACAGCAGGAGCCCAGCAGCGGCACUACCACCUUCGCUGUGACCAGUAUUUUGCGUGUGUCGGCUGAGGCCUGGAAGCAGGGGGAAAAUUUCUCCUGUAUGGUGGGCCAUGAGGCCCUGCCCCUGGCCUUCAUGCAGAAGACCAUCAACAAACUGGCUGGUAAACCCACCCACGUUAACGUGUCUGUGGUCAUGUCCGAGGUGGAUGGCAUCUGCUAUUGA